CAUUUAUAUGAUGUAUUAUUGUUAAAUUAUAAUUUGUGAUGGCAGAAAGGAGGCUGAGAUGGAAUGGAUAAAGAGGCCUGCCUAGCUGAGGAGUUUUACCGAAACUAAGUUCAUAUAAUUCCAUGUCACUUUGAGUUUGAUCAUUAAAAACAACAAAGGAAAUAUAUAGGCAUAUUUAUGUCACUGGUUUUUAACCAAACAUGGUUCGAUCUCUCUGCAGCUGCAGUCUGCCUCUGUCCACUUUAUAGCAGCCAAACACACCACUCCCUUUAAGAGCUAUGUGGAAGACAUCAACUUCCGGCUGGUCUCCUAUCACUUCUUCGCUUGCUGUCACGUUUCGGCCAUGUCCAUCUCUGAGACCUGGUAUGCCAUUAAAGACCAUGGCACCAACUACUGCAACCUGUACAACCUGAUGGAAGGAAGUGGUCUAACUGAAGCCAGAGGUUAUAAAGAGGUCACCAGCGACUUCCUGUGUACCCAACACUCUUCUGCUAACUGCACUGUCUACUGACUGAAAAUUUAGGGCGGCUAGAGACCAUUAUAGUACAGGUGCUGGUCAU